rnacentral:rRNA from 1 species
GGAAUAUUGGUCAAUGGACGCGAGUCUGAACCAGCCAAGUAGCGUGAAGGAUGACUGCCCUAUGGGUUGUAAACUUCUUUUAUAUGGGAAUAAAGUUUUCCACGUGUGGAAUUUUGUAUGUACCAUAUGAAUAAGGAUCGGCUAACUCCGUGCCAGCAGCCGCGGUAAUACGGAGGAUCCGAGCGUUAUCCGGAUUCAUUGGGUUUAAAGGGUGCGCAGGCGGGCCUUUAAGCCGGCGGUGAAAUCGCGGGGCUCAACCCCGCCGAGCCGUCGGAACUGGGGGCCUUGAGUGCGGCGGAGGCAUGCGGAAUGCGCGGUGUAGCGGUGAAAUGCAUAGAUAUCGCGCAGAACCCCGAUUGCGAAGGCAGCGUGCCGUGCCGCCACUGACGCUGAGGCACGAAAGCGCGGGGAUCGAACAG